AUCUGUGUCAGAAAACAAUUCUAUCAAAACUAAAUAAUAUGUCGUACUGUACAAAAACAAUGUAGGCCAUUUACAUUUACAUUUAUAUAAUAAAGUUUAAAAUUUGGUGUGAUAUUAAUUAUAUUUUUUGGAACAAUAUACUGUGUUGGGAGUCAAUAUGCUAGGGCCCAUUCGUUAUUGCGGUCAUUUGAAACUUAUGAACCAUGCGUCGCUCGCGGUGAACAGUAACGCUCUAGGGCAGAUGAUCAUAAAUCUGGCGUCUCGAGUUCACUAUUCAAAAACUCCGGAUGAGUGUAAGGGUUCUUCAACUACUCCCUGCACUUGCAAGGAUGUCGCUCAGACAGCGGGCAGGCGGGUGGAGGCGUGGCCGAAGCCCGACCCGCCGCCGCAGCCCUGGCGAGCCGAGUGCCCGCGCGAGCCGCAGCCCCCCAACUACGACCCCUACCGGAUCAAGGUCCCGGACGUCGUAGUGCCGCCGUUCCCUCCUAGCAACGCCAAGCCAAUGCUCGAUUGUGCGAAGAUGAAGGGUUCGUGCUCGCUCAAGCCCUUCCACGAGCCGCCGCCCGGUCCGCCGCCUACGCCGCCGCCCUACACCAAUUCAUUGUACCUGUUAGCUAUAUUGUCCGUGUUUGGUGCGUUUGGUCUGAUGUUUAGAUUUUGGGUAUGGUGGGAUCAAAAGACGAAGCAAGAUGAAAGCAGAGCGCAAUGGCGACCGCGACGGAAGUUUAAGAGUCCGUAUUCCGAAACAGAUCUACCGCCAUGUGUACAGUACCUUAUAAUUGGCACUGGGGCGGCCGGCUGGGCUGCCUAUAGAGCCAUCAUGGAACACGACAAAAAAGCCCGGGUAUUUUUUAUAACGAGAGAGGAUAUGGUCCCCUAUAAGAGGCCGCCCAUGUCUAAACAAAUGUGGUUGAAUGAGGAUCCUCCAGACAUCAAACUCCUGAGAUAUGUUGAAGACAUGCAGCUGAAAAGCAUGCUAAACGCGCAGUGCUCAGACUUCCUAGACCCCGUCAGUUUCUACCGCAAGAAGAACGGACCGGCGCUGUCCAUUGCGACGGGCUGGUGCGUGCUGCGCAUCGACGCGGACGACCACGUCGCCUACAUCAAGACCAUGGGCGGCGAGAGGCCCAUCUACUACGAGAGGUGUUUACUGGCGCCAGGAUCUGCGCCCAGGAACUUAGAUGUCUUCAAGUCCGCGCCGAAGAAUGUCCGGGCAAGAAUAUGCAAGAUGCGGACUAUCAGAGAUUUAGAGGUUUCGUUCAGGAAAGUGAGAGAAGCGAAAUCUGUCGUAAUUAUUGGCGGCGGUUGCCUCGGCUGCGAGCUGGCGUGGCAUAUAGGAAGAAUGAACAAGAUAAUAGAGCGACCUGACGAGAUGCCGCCGCUGCAGAUCAUGCACGUGUACAAGGACAAGGGCAUCCUAUCGUCAAUACUGCCGGAGUACCUGGGCGAGUGGGCCGCCGAGAUCAUCAAGUGCGAGGGCGUCACCAUGGUGCCCAAGACGCAAGUGUAUGACGCAUUUGAGUCACCCGAUGGCCGGUUAGAACUUACGCUAUCGAACGGUGAAUCAUUGGUUUGCGAUUAUGCGUUCCUAUGCAUCGGCGCGGAGCCCCGGGUGGACAUGGCGGAGAACUCGUACCUGGAGCAGGACCCCGUCAACGGCGGCUACCUCGUCAACACAGAGAUGGAGGCCAGGACACAUCUGUACAUUGCGGGCGACGCUGCGAGCUACUACUCGCAGUGGAAGGACACGCGCAUGCGCAGCGACCACUACCAGAACGCCGAGGAGCAGGGCUACAUCGCGGGCGCCAACAUGACCGGCUACUGGACGCCCUGCAACAUGGAGCCCAACUACCACGUCAAACUCGGCGAACAUCUCAAUAUGGAGGUGGUCGGCGAGGUGGGCGCUUGUAUGCCCAUCAUUGGGGUUUUCAAGGAGUGUGACGACCAGGACUCCGUGGACGAGGCCAACGAGAUCGCUGGCGGGACCCUCGCCAGCGGCAAGCGGAAAUGUUACAAGGACAGUACCCUGGAGUACCAGAACAGGUACAAGCGGGGCCUGCUGUUCUACAUGAGGGAUGAGACGGUGGUCGGGUUCGUGUUCUGGAACUUGCCGCCCAUCGACGACCGCAGAGGCGUGGCUACUGAGCUGCUCCGGGCAAAGCCUACGUACAGAGACAUCAAUGUAUUGGCUCAGCUACUUGGAUUCCCUGAAGCCCGCUGCGUCUACAAGAAGGCUGUUAAAGAAGCCGAAAAAGAAGUCUGCCUUACAAAGGAUUGCCAACCUAAACCAAAAGAUAAAGAUUGCCCGACUAUAAACAGAUACAGAUACUGAUACAGGCCGCAGACGACAGCCCUGUUCUCUUUAAGGGUUGCCAUAGUAUUGCCGAGACAAGCUCUUCGUCUGCGGAGCCGCCCGCCGCUGCCGCGCACCGCACUUCCUUGUUGUUACGACCGUCGCAACAUUCCGGAACUCCCUCGAACUCCUACUUGUUCGCUAUCGUUGCCGGCCGUGACUCACCACGCGUAACGCUAAACAUUCAAUAACAUGUUAUUAACUAACGUUUAUUGUAAGACUCCAUUGCGAUUGUUAUAAAAGUUAGGCUGACUGUUAUGAAAGUAAAUGAAACGUUACAUCACGCGGCAACUUUAGUUAACAAUCGAUAACUUUUUGUGAAUGUAUGUUACCAAGAAAUGUACAAACAAAAAGGAAGUGCGGUGUUCGGCGUCAUCGGUAGCAUACAGUAAAUGGCUCUCGCAAAAAAAGAGUAAAAGUUGGAAGGUAUGGUAAAAAAAGUCAAGAAGUACCU